AGUUCUGCUGCAAGAUAUAAACAAUUAAAAAAAAAUAAAAAGAAGGGUUAAUAUUCCAGCCACUAAUUACAUUUAUAUGUUCUGUAUAAGCUGAUGACCUUCUUCCCAGUUAGCAUGCCUGACAAGAUUUUGAUUGUGACAUCAUUUGCAAAAGUUAAUUAUGAAAUACCAAGAGAGGUUGCGGAAGUGUAUUUCUAGUUAGAGCUAGUCUCUAAGCAAUAUAUAGCAGUUGAUGGAGUGCUAAGAAAGAUUGCCCUAUCAAACUCCCAAUAUUGUGAAAGAUCUAGAUGCCUUGGUAAAAUAUUUAAAAACAAAAAUUAAAAUGAGAGUAAUACAUGGCAAUUUUAUCUCAAGGGAACUAUGGUGGGAUGUUAUGGUACGUUAGUAUGGUUAUAAUAUGUAGUAAUUAUUAUUAGCACCAUACAUGAGCAGGUCUAAAACACAAAAUCAAGAGGGUCACUUGAUGGCAGCUGUAGCUUUGUCCUUGGGAAAAAGCAGUUGAUUUGAAAAUGAAAACAAGGUGAGAAAAUCUAAAUCUUGAAAUGCAAAUCUCAAGAGGGACACCCUAUUUGAUGGCAUCAAUAAGUUAGGAAAUAUCACUUAAAGCUAAACUAAAAGAGUGGCAGAAGCAGUUGAAUAUGGACACAAUAAUUUGUGGUAGGAAAACAGUGACAAGAAAUCAUGUGAUCUGAAACACCUGCUGGUGGGUGGGUAGAUGGGGACCUUAAGCAGUGGGAUAUGUGUAAUAAUGGGAAUUUGGAAUGCGGUAUCACAUGUUUAGAGAUGGGUAGAGCAAAAUUUACACCUCCCUCCUAUUAAAAAAAAUUUAAAAAAAAAAAAAGAAAAAAAAAAAAAAGAAAAUCCUUUCCUUGAAGUGGUAUUGCAAAUGAGCAAAUACAUACAUAUACAAAAUAUAGAAUAGAAUAUGCAAUAAUGAAAAGGGACAAAAAAAAAAGGGUAGAUGGUCAAAGUUGAGAAGAACGUGAACAUUGGAUUCCAGAAGCAAAUGCAAUGAAUGAUUCCAAUGGAGGAGUUGGAAAAGCAAACAAGGGUAGCCAGCCUACCUUAGAAGCCACGUUAUUGUACGUGUCAUUGAGAGUGAUAAAUAAGAAAGAAAGAGACUUACAUUGAAGGAUGAGGAGGAGGAGUUGUCAAAGGAAAGAGCAGGCUUUCUAGAAGAAGAAGAAGAAGAAAAGGAGGCGCAAGCAGCCACCACCAUCUUCCUGGCGGCCUUUCUGAGCUUUGAGGACGCUCCUCCCAUCCCCAUUUUAUCAAUUUCUCAGGUAUGAAGUUGAUAUAAUAGUAUUAGUAAUUAGGAAUUAGGAAUUAGGGAGCGGGGCGGGGCGGGCCUUAGCUGGGCUGGCAUAUAAACACAUAUAUAUAUGCCAAGAAGCUGAAAUUAAAAGUGCAGACAAGUCUCUGCAAAUUGUUCAGCAGCUGCCUGCCCCUUCACUUCUCACUUUUUCUUAUUCUUCUUCUUCUUUCUUUCUCACAUUUAUACACUGGUUGUUGGUAGUAUCAUCUCUUUCAAAGUUUCACCCACAAACUAUCACUUUUCUUUUCUCUCUUUUUUUUUUUUUUAACAUUUAUAUUUGUGACCAGUGACUGACUGCACUCCUUUAUCAUUAUAAUAAUGACUCCACUCCC